rnacentral:lncRNA from 1 species
UCAAAGCUGUUUUCCUUAGGCCAUAUCAGUGCUACUGUUCUCAGAAAAUAAUACUAAAACUUCAGAAAUCGCCCAAGCAGGCCAAUGCUUUUAUUGAUUGAUGCUUAUACAACUAAAACCAUGCAUCUUUUCCUUAACACCUUAACUGCUGAAGAUGAGAUAACUCGCCAUCACAACGAGCGUCCUCUGGUGCCGAUGAUGAGUUAACUCACAAU